rnacentral:rRNA from 1 species
UACAGAGGGGGCCAGCGUUAUUCGGAAUUAUUGGGCGUAAAGGGCGCGUAGGCGGCCUUGCGUGUCUUUCGUGAAAUCCCUCGGCUUAACUGAGGACGUGCGGAAGAAACUGCAGGGCUUGAGUCCGGGAGAGGGGGUGGAAUUCCUGGUGUAGCGGUGAAAUGCGUAGAUAUCAGGAGGAACACCGGUGGUGUAGACGGCUUUCUGGACCGUAACUGACGCUGAGACGCGAAAGCGUGGGGAGCGAACAGG